rnacentral:lncRNA from 1 species
CGCUAUUGUGAAGUUUUUACCAUAUUAUCUUAAACUAGUAUAUAAGCCUGCACAGAUUGUUACUGAAGCAUAGUUUACUGCUAUCUUCUCUUCAGACAACCAAAGAACUAAACCAAAAUGCCUGCUCCUACUGAAUCCUGCAAAGACUCCUGCAAAGAUGCUGAUUGCUGCAAGGACAAUAACUGCGAGACCAACUGCUCCGACUGCUCCACUGAUGGUGGUUGCUGCAAGUGAAGGGGGAUAUAUAUGUAAUACAUUAUAAUCAAUUAUUUUAAUGUAAUCUUUUUCUGGUUUAUUCAAUAAAAAUGGUUUAAAAAGUUU